GUUCCUAUAACUUCAUCUCAGGAGUCCUCGGGAUUGUAGGUGGCGUGCUGCUGCUUCUCCUGGUUACCAUCAUUAUCUGGAGGAUUAUGUCUAAGCAGAAUGCAGGCAAUUACUAUACACAUGAAAACAACAAGUACCAGAUGCCUUUGGCCCACAUAACUGAACAAAAAGUUUCAUUUGCACCAUAGCAGGUAUGGGCUUAUUUUAAAUCACUUUCUUCAACGUAAAAAUGUC